rnacentral:lncRNA from 1 species
CUUGCUGGAGGAUUUUCAUAGUAUUGCUGGUCAGAAAACGUUCAAUGCAGGGGGGAAUCUAAAAAGGGUAAUUAGGGGCAUAAGUUUCAUUAAAUGUGCUACGUAUAAUUUUAGAAAUUCUCACUGUGUAAAAAAAAAUGGAAAGAGGGGUAAAAAAAUGGAUCUCCAACCAAACGGGUCCUUAAUUUAUGGUUCAUACAAAAUAUUUAUUUUUUGAACAUAUGGUUCUGUUUUUAGACCCAAAAGACGUUAGUCUCGGCAGUCUAAGCAUGGACCGCAGUGUUAUAAAGCAUACGCAAUAUUGCCUCCUAUC